AGUGUGCACUGUGCAGUUGACUACAGAGAGAGAGAGUAGGAGAGAGAGAGAGAGAGAGAGAGAGAGAGAGAGAGAGAGAGAGAGAGAGAGAGAGCAACUCGCCGGCCCAUUGAGGAAAGAUGGCUACAGUCACUGCAAACGGAGUGCAGCAAGAGAAUGGAUUCAGCACCACGAACAGCGCCGGCAGGAUGAACGGGCUUACCAUCGGCCAGAACACCAUUCCAAUGAAGGACCACGACGCCAUCAAGCUUUUCAUCGGGCAGAUUCCCAGAAACCUGGAGGAAAAAGACCUGAAACCCCUGUUUGAGGAAUUCGGAAAGAUAUACGAACUCACUGUACUGAAAGACAGGUUUACGGGAAUGCAUAAAGGAUGUGCCUUUCUAACAUAUUGUGCCAGAGAGUCAGCACUGAAGGCCCAGAGCGCCCUCCAUGAACAGAAGACUCUGCCAGGGAUGAACCGGCCCAUCCAGGUGAAGCCAGCCGACAGCGAAGGACGAGGAGAAGACAGGAAGCUGUUUGUGGGAAUGCUCGGCAAGCAGCAGAGCGAGGACGACGUCCGGCGGCUGUUCGAGACCUUCGGCCAGAUCGAGGAGUGCACCGUCCUGCGAGGGCCUGAUGGGGCCAGUAAGGGCUGUGCCUUUGUCAAGUUCUCCAGCCACGCAGAAGCGCAGGCCGCCAUCAACAGCUUACAUGGUGGACAGACUAUGCCUGGUGCCUCGUCCAGUCUUGUGGUCAAGUUUGCAGACACUGAUAAGGAGAGGACCCUGCGCAGGAUGCACCAGAUGGCAGGCCAGCUCGGCAUCUUCAGUCCCAUGACCAUCCAGUUUGGGGCCUAUGGCGCCUACUCUCAUGCUGUAAGUCUCAGCCCGGCGGGGGAGGAGACGCAGAUGAUGCAACAGCAAGCAGCCCUGAUGGCAGCAACACAAGGGUCCUACCUGAACCCCAUGGCAGCCAUCGCUGCCGCGCAAAUGCAGCAAAUGGCAGCUUUCAAUGUCAACGGCCUGGUGGCUACUCCCAUGACACCGUCCUCAGGCACCAGCACACCCCCGGGCAUCUCUGCCACAGCCGUGCCCAGCAUAGCUGCCCCUAUCGGGGUCAACGGAUUCAGUGCCCUCCCGCCUCAAAGCAACGGGCAGCCCACCUCUGAGCCCAUCUACACCAAUGGUAUUCACCCAUACCCAGCACAGAGUCCAACGGUGACCGACCCUCUCCAACAGGCUUAUGCUGGCGUCCAACACUACGCAGCAGCCUACCCUGCCGCCUAUGCGCCAAUCAGCCAAGCGUUCCCCCAGCAACCAACCAUCAUUCCCCAGCAACAAAGGGAAGGGCCAGAGGGUUGCAAUCUGUUUAUUUAUCACCUGCCCCAGGAGUUUGGAGAUGCGGAGCUCAUGCAAAUGUUCUUGCCUUUUGGCAACGUCAUCUCUGCCAAAGUCUUUGUGGACCGAGCGACCAAUCAGAGCAAAUGUUUCGGCUUUGUGAGUUUUGAUAACCCGUCCAGUGCUCAAGCCGCUAUCCAGGCCAUGAACGGCUUUCAGAUAGGCAUGAAGAGGCUGAAGGUGCAGCUAAAGCGGCCAAAGGAUGCCAACCGACCUUACUGACUCGUCUGCUGUCAAUACCCAGUGUGAGGUGGCCUUUCUCCGCUAUAGCUACACCCCCCCACACCUGUCAUGGGGCCAAGUUCCCACAGCUGAUGAAGGGCCACAACACCUUAUUUCCACAAGUGCAGUAAAAGUACAAAGACUUCUUGCUCUGCUACAUAUCAUGAAGGAAGGGUGGUCCCUUGAUCCUGCUGGAAACCCGCUGAAAGAUUGGGUGACUGCAAGAGGGAUCCCAGAGUUGUUGUUCUUUUUAUUUUAUUUUUUUCUUUCUUCGCAAAUGCCUCUUUUUUCCCUGUUUUGCUUUGGCGUCUGUGGAAGAAGAUUUUUUGCAGAGACCAACUUUUUGCUGCUGUUUUUUAGACAUGAUGGGAAAAAAAACCUUUAUAGACUCAUUAUGCUCAAAGCAUGCAUACUGACACAGGAUAUAGAUAAACACACAUAAACACAGAUAACAAACCAAACAUACACAUUUAAAAAAAGGAAAAAUGAAAAAAAAAUCUACUUUGUACAUGUAUAAAUACGUGCAAAUGCCAACUGAAGUACUGAAGCAAACACAUGCGUGUGCGCACGCACAUACACACACACAUACACACAAACACACACACCAGCCUGCUGCCAUUUUGGUUUUUGUGCCUACACAGGUGUUGUGCUCUGUGACAGGGCAAGCUCUGGAUCAAAGAAGAAAACAAGAAGAAGAAGAGAAGAGGAGAAUCCAGGAUAAUUUACAUGCAUCAUUCCUUAGGAAAUAGGGACCAAAGGACUAAACGCUUUUUAAAAGAAUAUAAAUAUAUAAAUAUAUAAAUAUAUAUUUAAAAACUCAUACCUUGUAGCUGCAAGUAUUACAAUUUACUCGUAGUCAAAAAAAUCAUUAAAUCAAUAUCCAGUGGCCUACUGUAAGUACGAAUAAAAGAAAAUGGAAAUAAUGUAUAAAAAAAGACAUGGAAUCGUAGUCUAGGGGCUGAUCUUUUGCUCUGGAUGCUGAUUUAGCACCAGGUUGUAGAAUAGUAAAGUAGAUUAGAAAAAAAAUGUAGAUUUGCUAACUUUUGCUGUUGUUUAAAAAAAAUACUUGAAGUUGUAAUGAAUGGGGGCAAAGGGGGGGGGGGACAUUCAUCUGCCCCUGUACGCAACGAGUCUCUUUGUCUUGGUUGUUAAGGUAUCAGCCACUGGAUAUCUCGCUCAUCAUGAUGUAUAAGUCACCGCAUUCUCUGACAGCUAUGAACAGACUGCUCUGGAAGAAAAAAAAAAGAAUGACGAGAGAAAAAAAAAGACUGAACUUACUAAUGUCUGAGCUGGACAGGGUGCAGACGUUUAAGGCUUCUCACUAGCCUUUGUGUUCAAGCGACAAUCCACUGUAAAGACCAAGCAAAAUGGACAUGGGGUGUCUUUUGUUCUUGUCUUUUCUUUUCUUGACCUUUUGUAUUGCAACAAGGAGUGUGAAUUAUGAAGCCACAAAUUGUUAAAAGGAGAUGCUUCUACUAAGAGGGAUGGACAAAUAGAUGGUCAUGAGGGGAACAGAAAGGGAGGAGUAAGGUGACAGCUACUGAAACUGCCAGCAGAAUGACCUCAGUAUACAAAUGAAUUGGCCCUUAUGGCAUCGGAAUUCCAUCACAAUACAAAGUAUGUCGUUGUAAACAACCAGGACUUAUAUAAGUGACAUGCCAAGGAUAUGUGUAUCCACUGAAGCUGCUGCAAAACUCCAGAUUGAGAAAAAUUGCCUCUUGUCUCUUGGCAAAUACAAACAAACAUUUCUCUGAAGACAAACUCAAUUUACUAUACUGAUGGCAAAGGGGCGCAGGCUUUUAGAGCUCAUUUAGCUCUGUCAAAUAUAAUGUAAAUUCCAUUAUUAACAUGUUCCCUGACCUGCUUUCUUCAUACAUUAUACACAGAGCCUAUGGGGGAAAAAAAGCUCCUGUUUAAACAGACUAUAUCUGAAUUAGAUCUAACAGUCACUCUUAACCAUCAUUCAGCUCUCUCUGACACUGACGGCAGGCAGGACACAGUAAGCACUCCAGCACUGUCAUGCCUUUAUUUUGACUGUUUUAGAGCUCUGGAUGCAGGCUCUUCUCUAAAAGCAGAUCAAUAUGUUUGGAAUGAGUCUGGAGGGAGAAGCGAUGCUGUUUCAGUCAGUCUGAACACUUCCAAAUUUUCUCUGUCGAACACCAGCUCACAUCCGUACACCAGCCCUUUGAGCACUGACAGCUGGCAGUAAGAGGCAUGGCUAGGCAAGAAGGAGAGAGGGAGGUGAAGAGAGGAAGUCAACAACCAAACAUGACAUCAGGAUCCUUUAAACCGAUGCUUCUAGGAUGAUGCCCAAUGACUUAAACCAUAAAAUUAGAAGCUGCAAUCAAGCUGACAAACACUAUGUAUCUGUGCUAUAUGCUUUCAAAGAACAGGAUUAAAGUGUUCAAAUAGGACUGGAGUCUGGUAUCUUAGGCUCCAGUCCAACCAGUUCCUGUUUACUCCUGAGACUCUUCUCCUUGCCGUUCUCUCCCUCUCUCUCUAUCUUUCUUUAGAGAGAAAAGCAGACCAGACCUAUUCCAAAUCACUGAAGGAGGGACUGAUAAAAUGUGCCAGCAGACUCCAGAGUCUUCAAAGUACUACCAUUCUUUGUCAUUUAAAUAAGCAGAAGGUCUUGAUUUGAGUCGUUGGUAUCAGCGUGCCAUGUACCCCCUCUCUUUCCCCUGUCCUAAGAGCAGCCAUGCCUUUCCAAACCUCAGCCCAACUGUUCAGCUCCUCUCCCCCUGGAACAGCAUUUUCGAACCUAGCUAAUGUCUGUGCUCACUACCCUUCAAUUAUGUCCUGCACCGUAUUAGACAUGCUAUUUCACCUUUUCCUCUAAUCACACUGUAAUCACCAGCCUCUAUACAUUAGCAGCAACCAAGUGAAAAAUCACUGGGAUAAUCACUUGGACCAAAUGACGGGAGGGAUGGUCCCCUGCAUGCACAUGGAUGACAGAAGGAAGAUUAGAGAGAAUUAUGUUUGUGCCUACUCCCUGGCAAGGCUGCUGACAGCUGACCUGGCACCAAUAAUGCUGCCAAAUUUACCCGAAGAGGCGAUGGAGGAUGUGGGAUAAAAACCUUCCAUAUCAUAGCGAGGUGUUAAUAUUGCAAAGUAGAUUGACUUUACCAAAAAGAGGUGGACAAAAAAAGUAAUGAAACGUUUUUUUUCUUUAGCACAAACGCAAAAAAGUUGCUUAAAAUUGGGUCAAAACCAACAAUUUUGCUGGAAAUCCUCAAUUCUGUAAAAGCAGCUGCUGUGAGGCCGGCUAUUGUACUUCUUCUUUCAGCAUGUAAUUGUGUACCACUUAUCUAUAGAGGUCGCAAUUUUUCUUUCUUUUUCUUGCUUGCAUCCCUGCUGGGACACCUGAAAAGCACAGUAUUGUUCAGCGCUGAAAGAAUAUUUGUGAGGCAAAGUAGUUCUUCAGAUUCAAAAUGAUGCCCAUCAGAAUGACAGGUUUUUAAGAAUUGCCUUUAAAUCUAGGGUCAAACCCCAGCCCUCCUUCCUCAGCCCUUGAUCGGACGUUAGGUGGAAAUGCAGGAAGCUACAUGAAUUGCAGAGAUGUAAAGUAGGUCAAAACAAAGCCAUGUUCUGCAAACCAUUAGUGCUCAUUAUUCAUGUGAAGCUGAACUAAUCGAUGGGAAAUCUAAUGUUCCAUGAGCAAUAAAAUUCCCUGUGCUUGUCUCGGCCAUCUUUAGAAUACGUUCUGCAACUGAGGCUCUGUCAGGCUGAACAUGAACUUUGCAUGCCUGGUCCACUGAUCUUCUCUGUCUUAUACCAGAUGCUGUACUAGUUCCCACUGCUAAUGGCAGGUUGAGUCCCCAGUGAGCCAAAACCCAGCAUAGCCUAGUAUCCUGCUGUCUGCUUGGCUAACAGUGCAGUGUUCAUGUAGCAUCUCUGCUAUGCCAGGGCUAAAUUAGGCAAUGUGAAAUCAGCACUUCAACACUUUUAACAAGGGUGCUCUUAGUACUUUUACACCCUGGGGAGGAUGUUACUGAAGUGACGUGCAUUAAAAACAGAAAUAGCUGUGAAACAUGCUCCGGGACUACCAAAACAAGAAAAGAUGGUUUUUAGAUCUUUCCAUUCCCCCAUUUAUUGACAAGAGUCUCUGCCUACCCUGCUCCCAGCCACAGUCUGGUCUGGUUUUUAGUCCAUGUUUCACCUCUAAGAGCAAUGACAAAUGUCAACCCAGCAGGCACUCACCAAGCUGUUGCCAAAAUGCUAUUUGAUAUUUGUCCUCUAAUUUACAAAGAGAAAAUGUAACUUGGCAUUUUAGCCAAAAGGAAUUAGUAUGAAUCUAAUUCAUUGUGAGAAUAUAAUAAUUAGCAUUCCAGGCAAAAACCUACAAGGACAUGUCAAAAAUGAUGUCCAUACCCCCAAAUGCAUAUAGCUUCUCCUCUGUAGCCAUACUGCCUGUAUUUUGCAUCUCACAAUCAGUGGUUUGGUACACAAGUAUAGCCAGUUGUAUUACAAUGAGCAUUUAGACCGCUUGGUUCUCUGGACUGAUGCAUGUACCCACUCUGACCCUGUAUCAUUUAAAGAGAAAUUGGGGGUAUAUACAUACCAUACCCAUUUGCUCAGUUGUCGCAACACCACUGCACACAAGUUCAGUCCUCUAGAGGAGCAUGUAUCCUUAGAGGGCCCCAGCCAAUUGCAGUUCAUGCAGAGAACUGCUAGAGCAUGUCUACGAGUCUCCAACCCCUUGGGUGCAUAACACUCACCCUAAAAUAGCAGUGAUUGUCAAGGAAAGGAAGUGAAAUGUAAUUGACUGAAAGUGGAGAGAUAAUUAAAGGAACCUGUUGGACAGGAGGGAAGAAAUUAAUGCCUCUCAUUUAAUAGCUGCUUUGGGAGAGAGCUUUUCCGUCAUCUCACUUUAGCGCAGAAAGGGUUUCGCUGUAGAAAUGGGAUUUUGUAUAGAAAAAUGUAGAGGUGGAAAUAGGCACUGGGUGGUGGGGGUGCUGUGUGCUAAACUGAAACUCCACAAAAUCACUCCCAAUACUCAGGGCAUCAGGCGCUAUGAUGUCAUGAUUAGUGGAGAGUUUCAGAGCCUUGCCUUACCCCUGAUCCUGAGGUAGGUCGAGCAGAAUCACAAAUAUGAGGUCAGUGUUGUAAGAUUGCACCCCAUCGCGGGGAGUACUGAGCCAGCAGAAGGGCUGAUGAACCACCUAAAUUGUACUUUGGAUUUAUAGUAUCAUCAUCCAAUUCCAAAAGUAACAAACAAAAAAAGAUGCCAUCGUCCACCCGACAACGCAUAGUGAAUCGCUGGAGGUGUAGUAAUGAAGACAAAGACUUUUUUAAUCCUUAAUGUAAAUAGCCUAUAAAAUACAAAAACAGAGGGAGGUUGUAUAGCAGCUUGUGUUGAGAAGCCCAACUCUGUGGGACAAUGAUGUCACUAUAAAAUGUAUCCACAGCAGUGCAGGGAUCUAGGAGAGUUUUAGUCCUUUUAAGCCCCCUAAGUUUGGGCUCUGAACAUGCAUCCUACAACCCUAAGCGUCGGACCAAGGCUUAGAGAGUAUUUGACUUAGUGUCAAACCUAAGCCACAGCCCCGAAGUGAUCCGUUAAUUAAGAUUCUGUGUGUACACCGACAUGUCAUGAUUUUUCUGACAGAAGAAAGAUCGCCUGUGCGGUAAUUGGAUUAGUCCAAUUGGGGCUGAUGAACAGAUAUGACAGUGACAGUAGAGUUCAUCCAUCUGCAUGCUUAAUGCUUGACAGUGCGACAAAAAAAGCAUCAGCCACCACCACCACCACACUUUUUCAGAUUCUUUGGAAGUGAAAGUUUGGGCUUAACAACAUUUAAGGAAGUUAGUUUUACAAAAUGAAACUCCAGGUAACAGUUUGUUCAACAUGUACAUAGAUCAUCAUUUAACACACAUGGUCGGACCCACAUGUACAUGGUUAGGUCGAGAUUGGAGGAAGGGGACAAACAAGAGAGCAAAUUAUUGUAGAACCCAGCAAAACCCCCUGCCUGCUUGACCCAAUCUGCCACUGCUUUCCUGACCACACCGCUGCGUUACUCCUGUACAUACAAUAUAGCUUAUUUUUCAAUUAUGUUGAACUUUCUUUAUAGGCCGUACAAUAGAUCAUGUUCAAACAUUUAAAAAAAUUAAAAGAAUAGUUAAUAUAUUUCAGUGAAACUAAGAGAAGGAACCUAUGAAAUAAUUUAUCAAAAACAGAAGAUAAAAUGAUGUUUUUUCUUGUAUAGUGAAGCACUGAUGUUCAAAAAUGGGAUUUUAUACUCAUGUUGGUAAAUGGUUCUUUAUUUUCUCUCUUUUGUUUUGUUAUUAUCUGCUGAAGCUGGGAUAGACCCAUUGUCAUGAGGUUUAUUCGAAUAUGCUUUGAUCAUUUUUCUUUUUUCCUAAUUUUUUUCUGGCUGCACAAUCCCUGUAUGAAAUCCCUCGUGGAUGGGCAAAUUCAAAGAGAUUUUGCUCACUGAAAGCUCUUAAAUCAAUACAAGAAUUAACAAACUGCACUGUAAAAGGAUGAUUGAUGGUACUGGUCAUGUGGAUUCAGAAAAAUGAGUCCAUUGCACAACUGAGUUCAAAUGAAUCAGCAUUGCAUGUUCAAAAAGAAUCUCAUUUGAGGCCUUUUGUUGUUUUGAGAAAAAAAAGACAGAAAAAGACAAAAAAAAAAACCAUCAAACUUUGCAGUCAGAUUGGUUUUGAGACCUAUGCUGUCAUAUCUCGUUGUCUUUAAGCCAUGGGUGAUUUCCUGUAAUGUAAUUGUUCUUGUCUCUCUCUGUCACAAUGAAAUUGUGUUUUGGGGAUUUUUGUUUUUGACAAGUUGGUCGUAAUCAUUGACAUAUCUUUGAUUUUGAUCUUCUCGUUUCUUACCUAUAGGAAGUUUAUUCCACAGUUUGUUAUUUAAUGUGACUCCAUCCACUGAAGAAAUUGUAUCAACAGUUGAUAGCGCCACAUUGCUUUACUCCAGUCAGGUUGAUUUGUUAAUGUGAGGAGGGAAUUCUGCCUUAAACCCAGCCUGUUCUCUCUGACAGUACUACCUGUGAACAGUGGUCAGACAAACCGUAUUCUGGGGAUGCCAAAUGUUCUAUCUUCAAAUGUCAAAAAUCUGCUGUAAAGACAAACACUUCGCCGGAGUCAGUUUUGCCUCAAGCCCAUUCUGACACAAAUACGGACGUGGUCAUCCACCUCCAUUUCCAUUGGUUACAAGGACCAAAAUGUAAACAAACUCAGCUAACUGAGCAGUUUGCUCCAAUCAAGCAUUCAAUGAGAGCCUUUAAAGAAUUCACAUUUAGUCAUAGGUAAUUUUGCACCAUGGAUCUUUGUAUCAUGAAUCAUUACAUUCCCAGCUUCACUAUCUAAUUUCAUCCUCUUCAUUUGUUCUCAUGAAAAAUUAAUUUAUCAUAAUAUAUUUGGGUAUUUAUAUUCACAAUGAAUGGAAUAAUCAUUUAUUCAUUUAUAUUUGACUUGAACAAACUGAUUUACUGUUUUCUUUUUGUUUGAAACAGAGAUGUAAUCUGAAUGAGCGUUGGCUCGGGUCCGUUUCCCUGAUUGGGGGUGAUAUCUCCCAUAGUGCUCCUGAACUCUGUAGUUCUCUAGUUCAUUAUAUUCUGCUUAGACUAAAAUAAAGCACAGUCCUGUAGAAGAUUGA